rnacentral:rRNA from 1 species
AGUGAACGCUGGCGGUAGGCCUAACACAUGCAAGUCGAACGGCAGCACAGUAAGAGCUUGCUCUUACGGGUGGCGAGUGGCGGACGGGUGAGGAAUACAUCGGAAUCUACUUUUUCGUGGGGGAUAACGUAGGGAAACUUACGCUAAUACCGCAUACGACCUACGGGUGAAAGCAGGGGAUCUUCGGACCUUGCGCGAUUGAAUGAGCCGAUGUCGGAUUAGCUAGUUGGCGGGGUAAAGGCCCACCAAGGCGACGAUCAGUAGCUGGUCUGAGAGGAUGAUCAGCCACACUGGAACUGAGACACGGUCCAGACUCCUACGGGAGGCAGCAGUGGGGAAUAUUGGACAAUGGGCGCAAGCCUGAUCCAGCCAUACCGCGUGGGUGAAGAAGGCCUUCGGGUUGUAAAGCCCUUUUGUUGGGAAAGAAAAGCAGCAGGUUAAUACCCCGCUGUUCUGACGGUACCCAAAGAAUAAGCACCGGCUAACUUCGU